rnacentral:rRNA from 1 species
CAAUAGCGUAUAUUUAAGUUGUUGCAGUUAAAAAGCUCGUAGUUGGAUUUCGGAUGGGAUUUGCCGGUCCGUCGUUACGAUGUGCACUGGCCAGUCCUAUCUUGUUGUCGGGGACUAGCUCCUUGGAUUCACUUCCUGGGACUAGGAGCUGACGAGGUUACUUUGAGUAAAUUAGAGUGUUCAAAGCAAGCCUACGCUCUGAAUACAUUAGCAUGGAAUAACACGAUAGGACUCUGGCUUAUCUUGUUGGUCUGUGAGACCAGAGUAAUGAUUAAGAGGGACAGUCGGGGACAUUCGUAUUUCAUUGUCAGAGGUGAAAUUCUUGGAUUUAUUAAAGACUAACAUCUGCGAAAGCAUUUGCCAAGGAUGUUUUCAUUAA